GUCUAGAACCUUGUCGAUGAGUUUGUGGAUCUCUCUCUGCCGGGCUGUUGCUCGGUUGAUGCAGUCCUGCAGCUUCUCUCUUGAAAGUGACGAUCCACCUGAGCCACAAAAGGCAGGCUUUGAAACAUGUUGUCUACAACAGGAAGUAGGAAACAAAAAAGCAAAAAUAGGACAGAACAGAAUGAAUGAUGAGAAAAGAAGGAAGCAAUAGAGGAGAGCCAAAGGACACAAAAUAUGGAGAGAAGCAGAACAAGAGCGGAGGUAAAGAAAGAAGGUUGGAUACAGUAAAAGUGAAAGGAACAAAUAAGUAAAGGAAGGACAGAAAAGGGGAAGUAAAGAAGUAUUGGAGGACACCAAAAUGAAGAGAAUGCAAGUCUGAAGUCUGGCUUAAAGUCUGAAAAAACAAAUA